rnacentral:rRNA from 1 species
AGCGAACGCUGGCGGCAGGCUUAACACAUGCAAGUCGAGCGGGCAUAGCAAUAUGUCAGCGGCAGACGGGUGAGUAACGCGUGGGAACGUACCUUUUGGUUCGGAACAACUGAGGGAAACUUCAGCUAAUACCGGAUAAGCCCUUACGGGGAAAGAUUUAUCGCCGAAAGAUCGGCCCGCGUCUGAUUAGCUAGUUGGUGAGGUAAUGGCUCACCAAGGCGACGAUCAGUAGCUGGUCUGAGAGGAUGAUCAGCCACAUUGGGACUGAGACACGGCCCAAACUCCUACGGGAGGCAGCAGUGGGGAAUAUUGGACAAUGGGCGCAAGCCUGAUCCAGCCAUGCCGCGUGAGUGAUGAAGGCCCUAGGGUUGUAAAGCUCUUUUGUGCGGGAAGAUAAUGACGGUACCGCAAGAAUAAGCCCCGGCUAACUUCGUGCCAGCCGCCGCCGUAAAAC